UUCCACCCGAAGGGAACACUUCUCUGCGGACACAGGCUCUCUCAGACGCCUCUCCAUGGGCUAAACGAGAGCAACUCAACGCAGAGGUUUCUCCUCUAGGGUCCCUAGCGUAAAGACAUCAACCCGUGUGCACGAGCUCAAAGGAAAGCAGGGAAAUUCACAGGAAAGCUUAAUCCAUUUCCACAAAGCAAACUUACAUACGGCUUUCCCUUUCGGGAAACCCCAAGCACUUACACAACCGUGGAUUACCUUACAGGCGGAGGGCGAUUACAGCUUCUCCCUUAUUUCUAUAUUACAAUGGGAGUGAGAUGGCUACUAAUUAGGUGGAGUGGUGUGGCGGAUGCGCUCUGAGUAUUAGGCUCGGUGUCUUCUCUCCUCUUCUUCGUCCGGCGAUGAAUGCGUGCGUCUGGCUUCUCCUUUUAUAGACGGGAGGAGCCUUCAGGCUUAAGGAGGCGCUGGACACCCGGCGUCUUCAAUUAUCCUUCUUUACUGUUGCCUGGACAGCUGGACGAUAACGCUGCCUUCAAUAAUUGUACUGGCUACAGUAGAACUCACUGUUGAUUUUACUGUUUA